UACGUAGGGGGCAAGCGUUGUCCGGAUUUAUUGGGCGUAAAGAGCGUGUAGGCGGCCAGACAGGUCCGUUGUGAAAACUCGAGGCUCAACCUCGAGACGCCGAUGGAAACCGUCUGGCUAGAGUCCGGAAGAGGAGAGUGGAAUUCCUGGUGUAGCGGUGAAAUGCGCAGAUAUCAGGAAGAACACCCGUGGCUAAGGCGGCUCUCUAGUACGGUACUGACGCUCAUGUGCGAAAGCGUGGGGAGCAAACAGG
rnacentral:rRNA from 1 species